GCGGGAGUGAUGAAAUUGGUAGACAUGCAGGAUUUAGGUUCCUGUGGCUCACGCCGUGGGGGUUCAAGUCCCCCCUCCCGCACCA
rnacentral:tRNA from 1 species